AUUUUAGGAUAACAAACAAGUCCAAGUUCGUAAUAAGACUGUCGAUGGUUUAUGGUCGUAUAAGUUAGCGGUUAAGAAGCUCAAGAUGAACUAAAAUAUAAAAUGUACCCCUUACCUAUUUAUUGCAAGUACUAAUGAACACCACCAUUCUAUAUCAUUGUUAUUGUAAUUAGUUUUUACACUCAUCAGUUGUCAAUGUGUCAUUUGUUAAAUACUGUUUCAUUAAGUACAAAGAUAAUGUAAUAAAGAGGAUACAAGGGUAAUAAUGUAAAGGA